GAUCCAGACUUUGAUCCUGGCUCAGGGAUGACGCUGGCAGGCGUGCCUAAUACAUGCAAGUCGAACGCGAGCCCUUGGUCUCGAGUGGGCGAACAGGUGAGUAAUUACAAUAAGUAACCUUCCCUUAGAUCAAGGGGAUAAACUUUUGGAAACGAUAAGCUAAGAUCCGCCUCAGGUACGGACACUGCAUGGUGACCGUAUUCAAAAGUGCCUCAUAGCAUUGGUAGAGGAUGUACCUUACUGGCGCAUUAGCUGGUUGGCGGGGUAACGGCCCACUCAAGGCGACGAUGCGUAGCCGACCUGAGAGGGUGACCGGCCACACUGGGACUGAGACACGGCCCAGACUCCUACGGGAGGCAGCAGUAGGGAAUUUUCGGCAAUGGGGGAAACCCUGACCGAGCAACGCCGCGUGAAGGAAGAAGGUUUUCGGAUUGUAAACUUCUGUUAUAAAGGAAGAACGGCGGCUACAGGAAAUGGUAGCCGAGUGACGGUACUUUAUUAGAAAGCCACGGCUAACUACGUGCCAGCAGCCGCGGUAAUACGUAGGUGGCAAGCGUUAUCCGGAAUUAUUGGGCGUAAAGAGGGAGCAGGCGGCAGCAAGGGUCUGUGGUGAAAGCCUGAAGCUUAACUUCAGUAAGCCAUAGAAACCAGGCAGCUAGAGUGCAGGAGAGGAUCGUGGAAUUCCAUGUGUAGCGGUGCAAAUGCGUAGAUAAUAUGGAGGAACACCAGUGGCGAAGGCGGACGGAUCUGGCCUGCAACUGAACGCUCAGUUCCCGAAAGCCGUGGGCGGAGGCAAGAUAGGAUUAGAAUACCCUAUGCUAAGUCCACGCCCGUCACACACGAUAGAGUACUAAGUUGUUUGGAUUGUCUAAAGUUACAAGUGCCUGCAGUCUAACGCAAUAAGUACCUUCCGCCCUCGAGUAGUACAGUUCGCUAGAGAAUGCGACGCUCAAAUCGAAUUGACUGGAU
rnacentral:rRNA from 1 species